UACGAAGGGGGCUAGCGUUGCUCGGAAUUACUGGGCGUAAAGCGCACGUAGGCGGCUUUCUAAGUCGGGGUGAAAUCCUGGAGCUCAACUCCAGAACUGCCUUCGAUACUGGAAAGCUCGAGUCCGGGAGAGGUGAGUGGAACUGCGAGUGUAGAGGUGAAAUUCGUAGAUAUUCGCAAGAACACCAGUGGCGAAGGCGGCUCACUGGCCCGGUACUGACGCUGAGGUGCGAAAGCGUGGGAGCAAACAGG
rnacentral:rRNA from 1 species